UUUUUGCCAAAACCCUAGACCAGACAAGUUACAGCCGCACACACUCGAACCCUCUCUGUCUUCUCUUCUGCAAUUCCGGUGACCGGAGACAGCUCCGGCCGAUGCUUUUCCGGCAGCUCAACAUCGCACAUCACACCCCUAACUCCUUACAUCAUCUUCUUGUACCACCCCAGCCCCUGUUUCUUCGAGUAGAUUGCCAGCCAUCACCAUGGCGGUGGCACACAGUGGCGACGAGACAAAGUGGCGGAGAGAGAGAGAGGGAAAUCUGAGAUAGAGAGGGAGACGAUAAGAGAGAAAGAAGGGGCGGCGCCGACGACGGAGCCGGUGACGGUGAUUCUCGACGACAGCGGACCAAUGGCUCCGGUUGUGUUGAUGUUGACGGUGAUGGUGAUCGCCUGCGGUUUGGUCCGGUUCGAUCAAAUAGUCAGCAACUCAGUUACGGUUCGGGUCACGGCUCCGGUUCAUAUGUGCGGCUCAGGUUUAGAUAAUCCAUGUUAAUAACAGAUUCGAUUUUGGGUUCGAGAGUUGGUUCAAUUUUUGGCUCGGGUUUGCAGUAGAUCGGGUCAGAAUUCAGUUCGAGUUGGAUUUCUUUCGGGUUUCACGACUCAGUCGGGUUUGAGUCAACUCAGCUGCGUUUAGGGUCGAACCCGGUUGACUCGGUCAACACUGAGUCAACUCGAGUCAACACCGGGUCAACAAGGUCAAGAUUGGGUUAAAGACAGUCAACAGAUUCGAAUUCAAGUCAAAAUGGGACAGAAAGUCAACUGGUCAAACCCCAGUCAACGGCGGUCAAAUGAGUCGCCACGAGACUCGGGAUGCUAUAGUUGCACGCUAGCUAACUCACGUUCUUGGAACGACACUACGGAAUCACGCGAAGCUAGCUUUGCACAGGAAUAUCCAGGUGAGUUCAUAACCCCCACUUUUUCCUAGUUUUACGUUUUACAAAUGUUUUCGGGGGUGGAAAGACAUGCAAGUUUUGCAAAAGUAAACAAUUUUUCGAUAAGCGAAAACUCAUAUUUCUAAACCAUGUACCGAAUGGAUUUCAAGGAACUCAAAUGGUUCACGAACGAUUUAUACUAAACAUACCGGUUUUACAAAACAAUUGCGUAUUUACGAAACGUGCAUGAUUUUCAUGACUAGAGACGGUAAUGUCCUAUUUACAAUAACGGGACUGGGUUGGUCUGCGUACACAAAACGAGACAACCCAGUCGGUUCAUGUCCCCCCUUUUCUUUUUAACGUCUCGGUUUUACAACUCUCAGGGGGAAAUACAUGUUACUUGGUAUGGUUAAGCUACGGAAUGAAUUAGUAGAUCACGUGCGAAUAGGCUGAUACUUAAAGCACAAUUAAUCUUGUUUAAGACCACGGAACAAAGGGGGUAGAUCUAUCGGGUACCGGGCGAGCCCCACUCACGAGUCCUUGUGUGACCACAUGGAGUUUCCUUUGUUACCCUCUCCGGGUGGACCGGUACUAAAUUGCUUACGGGUUGGUGGCUUCCUAUGUCGACACACAUAUUAAUGUCCUAGCUACACAUUAAUGAUCAGCAUGUUCUUUGACGCUUUACAUACCGGAUUUCGACACCUAAACUUUCAAAAGUCUAUAAGAUUCAUUUGACACAAUCUCACAAAUACAUGGAAUUACAUACAUUGGUAACGUUUUCAACUUAUAUACAAGUAAGAGGAUGAGUUAGUCCUGCUUACAAAGACUCUCGUGGGCUAGACUCACAACUUUCAUAUAUCAUGCCGAGAAAAUGAUUUUACUAUAUUCUCGCAACAACUUUUAAACCGGUCAUAAAAAAAAGAAUUAUUUUAAAUCUUUUUCAAAACAAACUAUGAACUCGCUCAACUUUAUGUUGAUUUUUCGCAUGUUCUUUCUCAGGUGGCAUUUUUCAAAACUAUGGAAUGGUUGGAAUAGGAGAACCCAUGGGAAUUCGAGUACUUAGCAGGCGUUAAAUUUCUAGAAGUCUUAGCUUAUUUGCUUCCGCUGUGCAAUGAAGAUACCACUCCAGUCACGCCAGCUCUGAUAUUUCGGGGUGUGACAUUAUGUUUAUACAAGAAUUGCUUUGUUGAGACGAUCACUAAACGUUCACAAUUGAUUGCAAAGCCAAUGAUCAUAAGAGCAAGAGUUCAUAUUUGUAUUUGGGUACAUGUGAUUUUACAUGUACAACAUUAAUUCACAUCAAGCCAAUAUGUCAUCAUACUUCCCCCAUUAUAGUUGGUU